GCAUAUCAUAAGCGGAGGAAAAGAAACCAACAGGGAUUGCCUCAGUAACGGCGAGUGAAGCGGCAAAAGCUCAAAUUUGAAAUCUGGUACCUUUGGUGCCCGAGUUGUAAUUUGAAGAUAGUUUUCUGGUGCUGGCCCUUGUCUAUGUUCCUUGGAACAGGACGUCACAGAGGGUGAGAAUCCCGUCUGGCGGGGUGUCCAGUGCUUUGUAGAUUUCUAUCGACGAGUCGAGUUGUUUGGGAAUGCAGCUCUAAGUGGGUGGUAAAUUCCAUCUAAAGCUAAAUAUUGGCGAGAGACCGAUAGCGAACAAGUACAGUGAUGGAAAGAUGAAAAGAACUUUGAAAAGAGAGUGAAAAAGUACGUGAAAUUGUUGAAAGGGAAGGGUAUUAGAUCAGACUUGGUGUUUUGUGAUUAUCUUCCCUUCUUGGGUUGUGCACUCGCAUUUCACUGGGCCAGCAUCGGUUCGGGUGGUAAGAUAAUGACAUUGGAACGUGGCACUACCUUCGGGUGGUGUGUUAUAGCCCUUGUUGAUGUUGCCUACCUGGACCGAGGACUGCGGCUUUUGCCUAGGAUGCUGGCGUAAUGAUCUAACACCGCCCGUCUUG
rnacentral:rRNA from 1 species